rnacentral:rRNA from 1 species
UACAGAGGGGGCAAGCGUUGUUCGGAAUUACUGGGCGUAAAGGGCGCGUAGGCGGCCUUCUAAGUCGAACGUGAAAUCCCCGGGCUCAACCCGGGAACUGCGUCCGAGACUGGAAGGCUUGAAUCCGGGAGAGGGAUGUGGAAUUCCACGUGUAGCAGUGGAAAUGCGUAGAGAUGUGGAGGAACACCGAUGGCGAAGGCAGCCCCCUGGGUCAAGAUUGACGCUCAUGCACGAAAGCGUGGGGAGCAAACAGG